AACGAACGCUGGCGGCAGGCUUAACACAUGCAAGUCGAACGUGAAGCUGGAGCUUGCUCCAGUGGAAAGUGGCAGACGGGUGAGUAACGCGUGGGAAUUUACCCAGUGGUUCGGAAUAACUUCAGGAAACCGGAGCUAAUACCGAAUACGCCCUUCGGGGGAAAGAUUUAUCGCCAUUGGAUAAGCCCGCGUCGGAUUAGCUUGUUGGUGAGGUAAAAGCUCACCAAGGCGACGAUCCGUAGCUGGUCUGAGAGGAUGAUCAGCCACACUGGGACUGAGACACGGCCCAGACUCCUNACGGGAGGCAGCAGUGGGGAAUAUUGCGCAAUGGAGGAAACUCUGACGCAGCCAUGCCGCGUGAGUGAAGAAGGCCUUAGGGUUGUAAAACUCUUUCGCUAGGGAAGAUAAUGACGGUACCUAGUAAAGAAGCCCCGCCAACU
rnacentral:rRNA from 1 species